CCUACGGGAGGCAGCAGUGGGGAAUAUUGGGCAAUGGAGGCAACUCUGACCCAGCAACGCCGCGUGAAUGAUGAAGGUCUUCGGAUUGUAAAGUUCUGUGAUGGGGGAUGUACACAAUGACGGUACCCCAAUAGCAAGCCACGGCUAACUACGUGCCAGCAGCCGCGGUAAUACGUAGGUGGCAAGCGUUAGCCGGAAUGACUGGGCGUAAAGGGUGCGUAGGUUGUUUAGUAAGUUGGCGGUGUAAUUCCGGGGCUCAACCUCGGCGCUACCGCCAAAACUAUUAGACUUGAGUGCAGGGGGGGUAAGUGGAAUGCGUAGUGUAGCGGUGGAAUGCGUAGAUAUUAGGAGGAACAUCAGGGGCGAAGGCGACUUACUGGACUGUAACUGACACUGAGGCACGAAAGCGUGGGGAGCAAACAGGAUUAGAUACCCGGGUAGUC
rnacentral:rRNA from 1 species